rnacentral:ribozyme from 1 species
CUUCAUUCUUCAUGCUUCACAUCUUGCUUCAUGGUUAUUUCAACAACAACAACAACAACAACAACAACAAAAGAGCAACAACCAGAAGAAAAUACAACACAUAAAAAACAGACAGCAAUGGCCGUUUUUUUUUUCUUGCGCCAGUUCUUUGUGUUUUUACUUGGCGGUGCGUUUUUUCUCCUUGUCCAGU